UGUCUCGGCUAAUGUGUCAUGGCUAAGGUGUCUUGGCUAAUGUGUCUUGGCUAAUGUGUCUUGGCUAAUGUGUCUCGGCUAAUGUGUCUUGGCUAAGGUGUCUUGGCUAAGGUGUUUUGGCUAAUGUGUCUUGGCUUAGGUGUCUUGGCUAAUGUGUCUUGGCUAAUGUGUCUUGGCUAAUGUGUCUUGGCUAAGGUGUCUUGGCUAAGGUGUCUUGGCUAAUGUGUCUUGGCUAAUGUGUCUUGGCUAAUGUGUCUUGGCUAAUGUGUCUUGGCUAAGGUGUCUUGGCUAAUGUGUCUCGGCUAAGGUGUCUUGGCAAAGGUGUCUUGGCUAAUGUGUCUUGGAUAAUGUGUCUUGGCUAAUGUGUCUUGGCUAAGGUGUCUCGGCUAAUGUGUCUUGGCUAAUGUGUCUUGGCUAAGGUGUCUUGGCUAAUGUGUCUUGGCUAAUGUGUCUUGGCUAAUGUGUCUUGGCUAAUGUGUCUUGGCUAAGGUGUCUUGGCUAAGGUGUCUUGGCUAAUGUGUCUUGGCUAAGGUGUCUUGGCUAAGGUGUCUUGGCUAAGGUGUCUUGGCUAAGGUGUCUUGGCUAAUGUGUCUUGGCUAAAGUGUCUUUUCUAAUGUGUCUUGGCUAAUGUGUCUUGGCUAAGGUGUCUUGGCUAAUGUGUCUCGUCUAAUGUGUCUUGGCUAAUGUGUCUUGGCUAAGGUGUCUUGGCUAAUGUGUCUUGGCUAAUGUGUCUUGGCUAAUGUGUCUCGGCUAAUGUGUCUUGGCUAAGGUGUGUUGGCUAAUGUGUCUUGGCUAAUGUGCCUUGGCUAAAGUGUCUUGGCUAAUGUGUCUUGGCUAAUGUGUCUUGGCUAAUGUGUCUUGGCUAAUGUGUCUUGGCUAAGGUGUCUUGGCUAAUGUGUCUUGGCUAAGGUGUCUUGGCUAAUGUGU